ACAUCUCAAUAUUGGCAGAUCAUUGCAUUAGAAUUAGAAUCUAAAUAAGCCUAU
rnacentral:tRNA from 1 species